UCCAUUCUCUGUGCUCCCUGCCCUACCCCAUUCUCAAUCCCUCCCUCAGGAACCUGCAUUGACCGACCUGCUGGACGGGGCAUGAUUUUCUGCAAAGUAGGUGUUAUUGCCAUUUACAGAAGAGGAAUCUGACUCUGCGAGCUUUUAAUGAUGAAACACC